UGGGGAAUAUUGCACAAUGGGCGAAAGCCUGAUGCAGCGACGCCGCGUGAGGGAUGACGGCCUUCGGGUUGUAAACCUCUUUCAGCAGGGAAGAAGCGAAAGUGACGGUACCUGCAGAAGAAGCGCCGGCUAACUACGUGCCAGCAGCCGCGGUAAUACGUAGGGCGCAAGCGUUGUCCGGAAUUAUUGGGCGUAAAGAGCUCGUAGGCGGUUAGUCGCGUCUGCUGUGAAAACUCGAGGCUCAACCUCGGGCUUGCAGUGGGUACGGGCUGACUAGAGUGCGGUAGGGGUGACUGGAAUUCCUGGUGUAGCGGUGGAAUGCGCAGAUAUCAGGAGGAACACCGAUGGCGAAGGCAGGUCACUGGGCCGCAACUGACGCUGAGGAGCGAAAAGCAUGGGGAGCGAACAGGAUUAGAUACCCCUGGUAGUCCAUGCCGUAAACGUUGGGCACUAGGUGUGGGGUCCAUUCCACGGAUUUCGUGCCGCAGCAAACGCAUUAAGUGCCCCGCCUGGGGAGUACGGCCGCAAGGCUAAAACUCAAAUGAAUUGACGGGGUC
rnacentral:rRNA from 1 species